UACGGGGGGGGCAAGCGUUGUUCGGAAUUACUGGGCGUAAAGGGCGCGUAGGCGGUUCGAUAAGUCAGCUGUGAAAACCAUGGGCUUAACUCAUGGCCUGCAGUUGAGACUGUCGGGCUGGAGUGCGGUAGAGGGUAGUGGAAUUUCCGGUGUAGCGGUGAAAUGCGUAGAUAUCGGAAGGAACACCAGUGGCGAAGGCGGCUACCUGGACUGACACUGACGCUGAGGCGCGAGAGCGUGGGGAGCAAACAGG
rnacentral:rRNA from 1 species